rnacentral:lncRNA from 1 species
CUCGGGCCAGGCGGGGUUUCGGGACUAGGGUUUCUGCCGUGUAAUACCUCCUCGAGGCAGAAAAAUUCUACUUUCCAUCUGCUUGGCUGCGGAGGACCUUGGGGUGGGCUCAGCGUGGGGGCUGCAGGCAGAAAUGGGUCCAGAAGGCAAGGUCGAGGUUAGAGCCAAGCCUGUGGGCAGGGCUACGGGCAGGGGGCGGGGAGGAAUGUGGGUCCAGGCCCAGAGGAAAAGGUUGAAGUUAUAGCCAGGCCUGUGGGCGAGGCCGCAGCAGGGCGGCCAUAGGGGAAGGAGCCAAUGUGUUAUGCAUGUAGAAAAUAGACAAAAUCUCACUCUGUCACCAAGGCUGGAGUUCAGUGGAGCCAUCUCAGCUCACUGCAACCUCCACCUCCCAGGUUCAAGCGAUUCUCCUGCCUCAUCCUCCCAAGUAGCUGGAAUUACAGGUGCAUGCUGCCACACCCUGCUAAUUUUUGUAUUUUUAGUAGAGGCAGGGUUUUGCCAUGCUGGCCAGGCUGGUCUUGAACUACUUGUCAGGCCUCUGAGCCCAAGUUAAAUCAUCAUAAACCCUGUCACCUGCACGUAUACAUCCAGAUGGCCUGGAGCAACUGAAGAACCACAAAAGAAGUGAAACAGCCAGUUCCUGCCUUAACUGAUGACGUUCCACCAUUGUGAUUUGUUGCUGCCCCACCCCAACUGAUCUCUUGACCUUGUGACAUUCUUCUUCUGGACGAGUCUCAGGAGUUCCCCACCGAGCACCUUGUGACCCCCGGCCCUGCCAGCAAAAGAUAACCACCUUUAACUUUCCACUACCUACCCAAAUCCUAUAAAACUGCCCCACCCCUAUCUCCCUUUGCUGACCCCUUUCUCGGACUCAGCCCACUUGCACCCAAGUGAAUAAACAGCCUUGUUGCUAACACAAA